rnacentral:lncRNA from 1 species
CUUCUCGUCUGUCGCCAUGUGAGAUGUACCUUUCACUUUCCUCCAUGAUUGUGAGGCCUCCUUAGCCACAUGGAACUUAUUUAAGUCAACAGAUGGAAGAGUGUCAUGGAAGCGUGCCUGUGAGGAAGAAACUGGAGCAAAAAAGAUGGAAACCCCAGCAAGGACGAUGAGCCCUGGCAAUCACUAUUCCAGUCUCUGCUUCUAUGAGUUUGACUAUUUCAGAUUCCACAUGUAGGAAAUGCUGGAGUCCUUCAUCCGAAUGGUAAAUGGCACUUGUGACAAAAAUCAAAGUAACUAAAAAAGAAUCUGGUUGAAACCUCAGUAACAGUUGGCCUGUCUACUGCCUCACACUAACAAGGGGGAGCUAAUAAAACCGAGGUUAGAACACACAAUGUGGAAAUGAAAACCUUAUUCUUGUCAAUGGAUGGAGGGUGGUGACCCCCACCUUUACAAGUGUCUGUAAUUCUCACUAGCAGUAUAUUAGAGGGCAAAAGAUUUGAACAGACACAUCAGAAAAGAAGACAUACAAAUGGCCGCUAAGCACUUGAAAGGAUUCUGAACACCAUUAGUCAUCAGUGAAAUGCAAAUUAAAGCCAUAAUGAAUGGCGCUAUACAUUUUCAGAAUGGCAAGGAUUGAAGACCGAAAAAAAUCAAGCGUUGAGGAGAGUGACAAAUGGGGAGACAGCCGUGGUGCAUGAUCGCCGAAUAAAUACCAUGUGAGGAUACAGCAAGAAGGUGGCCAUCUACAAGCCAAGGAGACAGGCCUCAGAAGAAACCAACCCUUCUUACACCCUGGACUCAGACUUCUAAUCUCCAGAACUUGUUAAUGCACAAGGUCUUGUGUUGAAAAUGUAGAGCCACGAGAUAAAAGCAGCUUGGAUGGCUGACUCAUAUACAAGGACAACUGCCUGAGAGUCACCAGGGCUAUCAAGAAGUUUGCAGAAACAAGAAAUAAACUUUUACUGUUUUAAACUU